GUGCUUGCUUUGGCAGCACACAUACUAACAUUGGAAAAAUAAAGAAGAUUAGCAUGGGCCCUGGGUAAGGAUGACACACAAAUUCUUGAAGCAUUCUAUAUAUUU